UGGGAAUCUACUGCCAGCAGGUGCUGUAGGUGAAUCUCUCAGCCUUACUUUCAUGCCUGACAGUAAAAACUGGUCCAACUGUGUUCAAACUACGUGACACAAAGGAGAUGAGGGUUUUUUGGCGGCGCUUCACACCACGCCGUGGCCUUAAUGAGAGUUCGGCCCGACUCCAGAGAACUAAACAGCGGCUACUCAACCUCCAGGGAUUCACCACUCAGAUGGAACAAAGACAACAAGACCUGGCUGAGAUUAACUUUGGCUGGACCAGGACUACGAUGCCGGAGCUGGAUCGGAUAGGCGGGAGGGGUUGACGUGGGUUCAAACGGAGAAAAAGUUCACGGGUCUCAGCCAUCACCUAAAGCUUAUUUGUCUUUCAGGAUUAUGUUAAUUAAAACAUUCUUUUAUCAUU